rnacentral:rRNA from 1 species
UACGUAGGGUGCGAGCGUUAAUCGGAAUUACUGGGCGUAAAGCGUGCGCAGGCGGUUUUUGUAAGACAGAUGUGAAAUCCCCGGGCUUAACCUGGGAACUGCAUUUGUGACUGCAUCGCUGGAGUGCGGCAGAGGGGGAUGGAAUUCCGCGUGUAGCAGUGAAAUGCGUAGAUAUGCGGAGGAACACCGAUGGCGAAGGCAAUCCCCUGGGCCUGCACUGACGCUCAUGCACGAAAGCGUGGGGAGCAAACAGG